CGGAGCAGUACGUCUUAGUACGGGAAAAAUGACCAAAACGUCAGCCGCGUGUAAACGGUAAUGAUGCCUAUCCUAACAAACGACGUGUUCAUGACGAGUAUCCGGUCUCAACCUCAAUACGCUGACAGGAUAACCACUGUUAGAACAAUGAAACUUACAGUUCUCUGCGCAAUUAUCUACAUAUUAUUUUACAACUUGAUUAGCCACAGGGUUUAUGAAAGUUUAAUAGUUACACCUCCAAUUUCAUCUAUCAGAAAUCUGUAUCUAAAACUCGACAAUAAUAGUUUUAACAAAACUAGACAAGACAAGACAAACGAAGAACAUCCAAAUUUAGAAAAUGUGAAGUCUGUUAUUUCAUUAAAAAACAAAAAGCCGCCAAGAAAACCGUCUCAUGUGGAGGAAGCUACAUGGGUGGAAGAUAACAAACAACAAAUAAAAGAGCAUUGUAUCAAAAUAAAACAUCAAAGGGUAUACAUUUAUUCAGCUAUUGUUCACCAAACCGAUUUAGCAGACUUUUCGAACACGAAAGGGUUAAAACCUAAAAAUUUAAUAGCAUUAAACGGCUGGAAGCAUGCGUCUAGUGACCAAAAUCUGAGGUGUUGUUACAUGCAUGAGGAUUACAAGACAAUUAGCUCCGCUGAUACACUCGGGAAAACCGUGCAUUAUGACAAGGUCGAUCUCAAGGACGUGCAAUACAGGUGUCCUCGAACGAUGGACAGUUCAAAACGAAUUAUUGGUGUAACAUUGACUCGUUACAAUGCAUCAUGUCCUACACAUAAAAAUCAUUAUAUCAGACCAGUAGUUAUUGACAAAAAGAAGAAGCUAAAGAUAGGAGUGUGCACUAAAAUAAGCUACGGAACGAUUAAAGCUGGUCCACUAGUAGAAUGGUUUGAGGCCAUGAGAUUUCUCGGUGUUGAUAAAAUAAUUUCUUACAACUCAAACCUUAGCCCGGAAACACAGAAGAUAUUCGACUAUUACAGUGCAAUAGGUUUUCUCGAAAAUCACCCUUUUGAAUUUCCAGAAAAAGACAAAUAUCCCCGGGAAAUUGGCGAGAAAUCAUUUCAAGCAUGGGCGGAUGAACAGAUUGUCGUCGGCGAUUGCCGGCUGAGACUCGAAGCAUUUAAGUAUGCAGUUUUUCUAGAUAAAGAUGAAAUACUUCUACCGAAAUUGCCAAUAAUGGAGAACGCACUGAGGACCUAUUUCGAUAUGCUGGACGACGACAUCGUCGGCCAGAAUUACUUCUCGGAAAUACAUUUAACAGACUGGCAACCGUCUAAUCCGACCCAUCCACUCUUUAUAGGCAAAUACACAGUCAAAUCAGGCACCAGUCGAGAAUUCUGUGAAAUACAUGUUUAAGCCACCUUUCUUCUUGACCGGAGGAUGCAAGGCUCACAAGUGCUUAAUGCUUAACGGAACGCGGCCUCGCUUCGCUCGUGCUGCCGACAUAACCGUGCAUCAUUUCCGAUCAUGUGACACAGAAAGAUUACUCUUUAAGAACGGAACAUUUUGUCGGAAAACAGCCAGAUCUGUUUCAAGCAAAAUAGCAAAACUUGCAGAUGCUUUAAUUAGCCGUGUUUCAAGAACACUGAAGUAUCUAAAAUCAUUUCGUCGAGAGAAAUAAGAUUAAUUUAUCGUUCUCAACAGUAAAACUGUGUAGUGUUCAUGUAAUAAAAGUGUUCAAUGUAAAA
rnacentral:misc_RNA from 1 species